rnacentral:lncRNA from 10 species
GAAACCCCGUCUCUAAUAAAAAUACAAAAAAUUAGCCAGGCAUGGUGGCGGGCGCCUGUAGUCCCAGCUACUCUGGAGGCUGAGGCAGGAGAAUCGCUUGAACCCUGGAGGUGGAGAUUGCAGUGAGCCAAAAUUGUGCCGCCGCACUCCAGCCUGGGUUCCAGAGCGAGACUCCGCCUCAAAGAAACAAAAAAAGACUGCCUUUGCAAAAGACUGAUCCUGAUGUAAAGCUAGUUUAAAUACGGGAGAUACAAAGUAGAGCGGACAGGAAGAAUAAGAAAAUGCUACAUUAUAAAAAACAAAAGAGUGAAUCUAAUAUUAUAUUUAUCUGAGUCAAGUAUACUGAGAUAUAUUAGGACUUGCAAAAUUUAAAUAUAUCAGUUGGCAAGAAUGUAUUACAUAUAUGCAUAAAUGUAUUUGAAAUUGUUAAUGAAAAUGUAUGGCUAAAACAGUUUUAAGAGAUCCAGUUUUAUUAUCUUAGAAUAUGAGGAGGAAGCAAAAUAUCAAACUACUUUAGUAAAUGAACUUGAGAAGGAGGAAAUACUUUGCAAAUGUGGGGGAGAAACGUGUGGGUGACAUAAUUGAAUGUAACAUGUCAUGAGAAAUGUUGAAUUAUGCAAAAUUGGAUUAUGAGCAUGCUUAUUUACAAAGACGAAAUGCAAACACUGAAAACGUUGAGUUUGUGAAGAAAAUUCAACAUAGAGCUUCUCAAUAAACCCACUGAACGUUAUUAUAUUUCUAUAACCAACCCUGGGGUAAUAUAUCUAAUGCUUAGGAAUGUAUUUUUGUAAUAAGGAGAAAUGCUUCCAAUUUUCCGUAAUUUGUAAUUAGUUUCUUCCAAUUUUCUUUUUAAUAGUUUUUGAGGACACAAUUUAAGCUCCAUUACUUACAUCUGGAGAGCUGCGUGUCUUUUUAUCACUAUCCUAGAGUAACUAAUGGAAACAGCUUCAGGAAACAGACUUAAAGAUGGGUUUCAUCGAUUGGAUUGAAAAUAUAUUUGAGAGCAUUGGAGAUAUCAUUCUUGCUGUGAGAGAUGGAAAUAAUACAUGUUGUGUGUUGGCAACAUGGUUAUUCAAAUAAUUACUGGUGGAAGCAUGAAAUAAAAGGAUGAAGAGAGAAACCCAAGACAGAGAGCAGGAUUGAAGAUGAAUCUGCAUAAACAAACUAUACUAAAAUAACCCCUGUCCUACUCCAUUUGUGCUGCUAUAACAAAAUACCAGAGACUGGGUAACUUAUAAAGAGCAAACAUUUAUUUCUUACAGUAUGCAAUCUGCAAAGUUUAAAAUCAAAGUAUCAGCAAAAUUGCUGUCUGGAGAUGGCUGCUCUCCACUUCCAAGAUGGAGCCGUGUUACUGCAUCCUCAGAAGGGGAGAAAAGCUGUGUCCUCAUGUGAUGGAAUGGAUGGAGGGGCAAGAAGUGUAAGCUCUUUCUGAAGCCUCUUUCAUAAGGGCAUUAAUCUACUAAUGAGGGCAGAGCUCUCAUGACUUAACCACUUCCCCUUAAGCCCCACCUCUUAAUAAUACCUAAGUUUCAACAUAAAUUUUAGAGAGGACACCACAUUCAACUCAUAGCAGACGUUAUGUUUUCUUAGUUUCCCCAUAUGUUUUCUUGUCAUUUUCCUAUAAUUUUUAGCCUUAGAAAAUCAAGUCCCUUUCCUUUGUCUAGACAGCUCUCCAUAAUUUACUGCUGUUUGUUAAAAUGGU